rnacentral:rRNA from 1 species
UACGAAGGGGGCUAGCGUUGCUCGGAAUUACUGGGCGUAAAGCGCACGUAGGCGGAUUGUUAAGUCGGGGGUGAAAUCCUGGAGCUCAACUCCAGAACUGCCUUCGAUACUGGCGAUCUCGAGUUCGGGAGAGGUGAGUGGAACUGCGAGUGUAGAGGUGAAAUUCGUAGAUAUUCGCAAGAACACCAGUGGCGAAGGCGGCUCACUGGCCCGACACUGACGCUGAGGUGCGAAAGCGUGGGGAGCAAACAGG